GACGAACGCUGGCGGCGUGCUUAACACAUGCAAGUCGAGCGGUAAGGCCCUUUCGGGGGUACACGAGCGGCGAACGGGUGAGUAACACGUGGGUGACCUGCCCUUAGCUCUGGGAUAAGCCUGGGAAACUGGGUCUAAUACCGGAUAUGACUCCAUGACGCAUGUUGUGGGGUGGAAAGCCUUGUGCGGCUAGGGAUGGGCCCGCGGCCUAUCAGCUUGUUGGUGGGGUGAUGGCCUACCAAGGCGACGACGGGUAGCCGGCCUGAGAGGGCGACCGGCCACACUGGGACUGAGACACGGCCCAGACUCCUACGGGAGGCAGCAGUGGGAAAUCUUGCGCAAUGGGCGAAAGCCUGACGCAGCGACGCCGCGUGAGGGAUGACGGCCUGGUGUAACC
rnacentral:rRNA from 1 species